rnacentral:rRNA from 1 species
UACGUAGGGGGCAAGCGUUGUCCGGAUUUAUUGGGCGUAAAGAGCGUGUAGGCGGCCAAGCAGGUCCGCUGUGAAAACUCGAGGCUCAACCUCGAGACGUCGGUGGAAACCGUUUGGCUAGAGUCCGGAAGAGGAGAGUGGAAUUCCCGGUGUAGCGGUGAAAUGCGCAGAUAUCGGGAAGAACACCCGUGGCGAAGGCGGCUCUCUGGGACGGUACUGACGCUGAGGAGCGAAAGCAUGGGGAGCGAACAGG